AUUGAACGCUGGCGGCAGGCUUAACACAUGCAAGUCGAGCGGAGCGGCGGACGGGUGAGUAAUGCCUAGGCAUCUGCCUGGUAGUGGGGGAUAACGUCCGGAAACGGGCGCUAAUACUGCAUACUCGCAGAUGAGCCUCGGUCGGAUUAGCUAGUUGGUGGUGUAAAGGCCUACCAAGGCGAAGAUCCGUAACUGGUCUGAGAGGAUGAGCAGUCACACUGGAACUGAGACACGGUCCAGACUCCUACGGGAGGCAGCAGUGGGGAAUAUUGGACAAUGGGCGAAAGCCUGAUCCAGCCAUGCCGCGUGUGUGAAGAAGGUCUUCGGAUUGUAAAGCACUUUAAGUAGGGAGGCGUUACCAACAGAAUAAGCACCGGCUAACUUCGUGCCAGCAGCCGCGGUAAUUC
rnacentral:rRNA from 1 species